GAUGAACGCUGGCGGCGUGCCUAAUACAUGCAAGUCGAGCGAACAGAUGAGGAGCUUGCUCCUCUGACGUUAGCGGCGGACGGGUGAGUAACACGUGGAUAACCUACCUAUAAGACUGGGAUAACUACGGGAAACCGGAGCUAAUACCGGAUAAUAUAUUGAACCGCAUGGUUCAAUAGUGAAAGACGGUUUUGCUGUCACUUAUAGAUGGAUCCGCGCCGCAUUAGCUAGUUGGUAAGGUAGCGGCUUACCAAGGCAACGAUGCGUAGCCGACCUGAGAGGGUGAUCGGCCACACUGGAACUGAGACACGGUCCAGACUCCUACGGGAGGCAGCAGUAGGGAAUCUUCCGCAAUGGGCGAAAGCCUGACGGAGCAACGCCGCGUGAGUGAUGAAGGUCUUCGGAUCGUAAAACUCUGUUAUUAGGGAAGAACAAAUGUGUAAGUAACUAUGCACGUCUUGACGGUACCUAAUCAGAAAGCCACGGCUAACUACGUG
rnacentral:rRNA from 1 species